rnacentral:rRNA from 1 species
ACGGGAGGCAGCAGUGGGGAAUAUUGGACAAUGGGCGCAAGCCUGAUCCAGCCAUGCCGCGUGGGUGAAGAAGGCCCUAGGGUUGUAAACCCCUUUCAGCGGGGAAGAUAAUGACGGUACCCGCAGAAGAAGCCCCGGCUAACUCCGUGCCAGCAGCCGCGGUAAUACGGAGGGGGCUAGCGUUGUUCGGAAUUACUGGGCGUAAAGCGCGCGUAGGCGGACCUGCAAGUCGGGGGUGAAAGCCCGAGGCUCAACCUCGGAACUGCCUUCGAUACUGCGGGUCUCGAGUCCGGGAGAGGUGAGUGGAAUUCCUAGUGUAGAGGUGAAAUUCGUAGAUAUUAGGAAGAACACCAGUGGCGAAGGCGGCUCACUGGCCCGGUACUGACGCUGAGGCGCGAAAGCGUGGGGAGCAAACAGGAUUAGAUACCCUGGUA